CUGACUUCCUCCAAGUGAUACUACCUGCCUUCUCUGCCAAACCCUCUGGCCCUAACCUAUCAUGUAUGAAAGGUGAAAUAGGAGCAUACUCUGAUUUCACAGUUUUAACCAUCAUCCUGUGACCCCAAAAGUCCAUCACAGGAGGGCAUAUGCACAAAGACAUUAAAUGUAAAAGAAAUGGCCUGUGCUGAGCAACAGAGAAAGCUGUAUCAGAGAUAAAACCAAACAGAUGAAUUACCUCACAGGAUUGCUGGUCAAAGACACUCGGAGAGACUCCAGGCAUGUGACAAGUCUCUCAUCUGCAGACCCCAUUUUCAGCUCAUGAAUGAAUUCCUGAGAUUCACCAUCCAACGGCAGGAAAUGAAUUGUGUAAGUUCAAAAGAAGAUCAGGUGAAGUGGUACGAAAUUCGGUGUUUUUCAUGUUUUUUGUUUUUAUUAAUUUACUAUAAUGUUAUUCAAAACAACAUUCCCAAUAAAGCAAAACAAAUUAGCACUGUAA
rnacentral:lncRNA from 1 species